CUUCUCAACUGAUCUCUGAAGAAAAUCAACAUUUAGUGGCUCUCCCCUAACCAUCAAUCAUCAUUUUUCGUGGUGCCACGGUUGAAUCUCAAAACCAACAAAUGAAACGGCUCGUCCAUUGCCCGUUUUGUUUGUGUCUGGUGAUUUGGUCAUACGGAAAUUCAAAGUUGCAGUAUUUGGACGAACUGGGAUUUGUUUCAAACCGAAUGCUACAUGAAAUUCUAUCAGAGAUCGAUGUAAGUAAAUAACUAGUCAUGGUCUGCAUACC